CAAUGAUCUGGCUACUGUUUCAACAAAGGAGGAUUUGACACGGCUGAAGACACCAAGUACUUACACCAAAGACACUUGGAUCGGACUGUCCGAUGACCCUGCUUCAUGGAAAAAGGUGAUGGGGAAUGACUCCAACUCCUGGAGAUGGUCUGCCACACGGACCACCAGCCCCGGAGGGUUCUAGAAGUGGCACUCUGAUGAACCCAACAACUACGGCAGCCACAACUACUGUGUACAUAUCAGUAAUGGACUUUGGUGAUGGACUGUUUUCAUACAGCUCCUUUCAUUUGUUUCACAGUUCACAAACUGGGCGGACGGCCAGCCUGAUAAUAACCAGUUUAAUCAACACUGUGUUAAAGUUGACAGCUCCCGUGAAUGGCACGAUGCAUAUUGUUACCAGAUGUUUGCAAUUCAUUGUGAAAAAGAUCCAUGCACACUUGCUGAACAUGGGACUUACUGACGUGAACCUCAAGUGGAAAAUAGCUCCAAAACGAAUUCCUCACGAAUAAAUGGGACCUGAGUGAAAUAGUGGCUUGUAGGGAUUCUACAUUUUCGAGUCAUGAUUAUUCUGAGGAAUAUUAUUGUGAUUUUAUGAUCAUUCAUGAUGAUUGGAAUCAAGUAAGACACCGAGAGUUUGUCCAAACCUUUACAGUGCAGUCUAUAUGUUCACAAAAAAGAAACAAGCUGUUAUAUGUAAAUCUUUAUGUUUUUCUAAGGGUUGUUUUAAUUGUAAAGCUAUUGAACAUUCAGC
rnacentral:lncRNA from 1 species